rnacentral:rRNA from 1 species
UACGGAGGGUGCGAGCGUUGUUCGGAAUUACUGGGCGUAAAGGGAAUGUAGGUGGUGGCGUAAGUCAGAUGUGAAAGCCCUGGGCUUAACCUGGGAAGUGCAUUUGAUACUGCGUCGCUAGAGUACGGAAGAGGAGAGCGGAAUUCCUGGUGUAGGGGUGAAAUCCGUAGAUAUCAGGAGGAAUACCGAUGGCGAAGGCAGCUCUCUGGUCCGUAACUGACACUGAGAUUCGAAAGCGUGGGUAGCAAACAGG